GCCGGUCAUGCGUCGCGAUCUCGGUGGCUCCGCCGAUCGCGCGGCUCUGCUCCGUUCGACUCCGCCCGGUUCUCGCUGGCUCUUGAUCCUCCCGUUGCAUCAAAAUGUUUUUUUCUCUUUGCUGCUUUCGGUACCAUUACCAGAGUUUGUGGAUUAAAAAUUUGGAUACUUCAGAAGCUAAAAUGGCAGAAGAAUUUUAGAAGAUAUGGGCAUGAAAAGAAUCCCAGUAUUCUAGAAGUCUGAGGUAAAGAUGAAAUUCCUGAUCACAAUUUCAUUAUCAUCUGAAAGGAGAACUAUGGAGAUGUGUGGUUGUUUAAGUUGAAUAAUUAGUGACAAAAAAGGCUAUGAACAUGUGUCGUCUUUAUUUGCUCUCUCUAUUUCAAAAUCUGCGUUUCAUGAUAUGGCUAAUCAUUUUUAUGGUAUAGCUGGUAGAACAUUGUCACUGGAAAAUGGAUGCAGUUUAUAACCAAACAGACAUAUGAUGUUUCCUCUCUCUCUCUCUCUCUCUCUCUCUCUCUCUCUCUCUCUCAUGCUCGAUAUUUUACAGCAAUAUUUUUUAUGUAUUAUAGUGGCUUUCAUGCAUAGUUAUGGCCUUCUUUAGAUCCUUACCUGUUCCGUUUUUUCGUUUCACUAUCUUUUGGCCUUCCAUCAUUGGCUGAAGCAUGCUUUGACGUACUCUUUUCUGAUGCAUGUGAAUUAUGCUCUUAUGUUUCUGUAUUGCAUCCUUCCUUUGGGAUGUUUGAAUGACUAUCCCCGGUAUUUGGGCUCUAGGACCUGGUGAUUUUGUUAAUUCAUUGAAUUUUAUCAUGCACCAUUCAUCUCAAAUUUUCUUGACUAAUUGACUUUGCAUUGCAUGAUUGUUAUAUUUUUAUAAAACAAAAAAGAAAGUAAGAGAGAAGAUAAAGCAAUUGUAGUGUAGUAAACUGGAUAAGGUAUCAUUUGGGGAUAGUAAGCAUGCUUAGCCUAUCCAUGAAAUAUCCAAGUGCCAAAUCCUGACAUAAUUCUAUGCUAUUAUCUGUGGCAAGUGAUAAAAUCCAACCAAUUUCAGCUCUUCCACUAAUUGAAUAGCCUUUAUGAAACUGUUUUGUAGGAAAACAUGUUCUCUGCUUACUGUGGUGCAUUCUUUAUUCCCUCUCUUAUCUGAUGCAGGGUUACUCUAUUUUUCUUGUUGCCUAAUGAAACUUUACUGGCUUUUGUGUGGUUGGCAGGUUGGUAGGGAGACCUCUCUCCCUUGUUGUGAUCCACCAUCUGCAUAUUCUUAUUUCAGUUUGUAGAUGAUGAAAUGCUAACAAGAGCCAUCUCUUGGUUAUGAAAUUUAGCUUUCUUUCAUAAGCUACUUUUGUGUUUGCCAUCUUACUUUAUCUGAUAUCUUAUCCACAACUUUGUUCCCUCUGUUUUAAUCUGAUAGUUUGUCUAGAACCAUUAUCCUCUGCAGAUUCGAGAUGCCAUGAUCUAUCAGUUCAGUGUUUGUGCUCAUUUAAAUCUGUGACAUGCAAAAGGGAGCAAAAAUAUGUUUGGCAUGCCAUUGGUAUAGACCCAAAGUUACUGAAACAAUUGAAUCUCAUAAAUCCUGUACGGUUAUCCUUAGGCACUUUGCUUCGUUUUAAUCCGCUUACUAAACUUCACAAAUUAAUUGGUAUUCUACAGGAUACACAAGGUGCAAAAUGUAGGACGUAUAGUCUGGUGAACAUUUUCCAGAAUGUGGAGAGAGAGAGAUUUUAAUUGCAUAUUUUUCAUUGCUUUUGACUUUCUACUUGGAGCUAAGCAUGGAGUUAGCUGGUAUGACCACUAAAUUCAUCUUGCGUUUUUCCACGUGACCAACCUGUUCAGCAUGCAGAGAUUACUCACCUGAGGUAGCCUAUAUGAAUUUUGUGAAGGCUUGAAGGAUCAAAAUUUUUUAUUGACACUUUAUCUAAAAUAGUUAACAAAAGAGGUGGUCUAUACUCUAUGGUCUCAUUCCAGAUUCCUAGAACAGAUUUUACAUUCAAAUCUACUUCUUCCAAUUACCACAUCGAGGUAAUUGCAAAGUUAUACCAUUUGAGGUCCUUGAAUGUUGUGCUUUAGGCUAUCAUUGGAUUUAUUGGAAAGUUUACUCUAUUUUUUCUAUAGUUCUAAUUCAGGAGUUUUAGUUAAUUAUAUGCUGGGAUGAUGGUUUAAGGUAAACGAUAAAUUACUCUGUUCCCAUCUUUAUGUUUGUUGUACUUAAAUGCUAGGAUAAUUCGGAUCCUUUUCUGUUGCUGAUUCUUCAUGCUUUUGAGCUUGCCUGGUCUCAAAAUCAGAUUUUUCAUGUGCUCCUCAAUUAAGUUUUGGUGGAUUUCUUCACUUUUUGUGACCUAGAUGACUAGGAUCUAGAUCAUGAAUCUGGAUCUUUUGCUUGCAUCGAUAAGAUUGCGUAUAUAUUGAUCCCAAGAGACUUGUGCUUUAGAUUACAAGUUGUCGUCGUUUAUAUGUAUACUUAAAAGUCAUACAUGUUACAUAGGCGAAUUUGUCAACGUUCAUUUGUGCUACUCUUCAAGUUUCAUCCAUGCAUGUAAUUUGUAUUUUAUUUUAUUUAUUUACUUGAUCCUUUUUUUUUCUUAUACCAGAGCCUUCUUAGAGCCUUCUUUUCCCAUACUUUGGUGGACUACAAGCCCAAGGAUGAUGGUGAUGUUUCCGGAUUCACACCCCAGUUCCCUUUCUCCACCCUCAGCUACUCCUACAUCAUUCAGCUGACAUUGCCAGUCAGGCCACGUUCUGCCUUGAGAUGAAACCUACUCCGCUUUUCACGGGGAAGAUCGUAAUCAAUGUCUUAACCAUGUGUUGCAUGAUGAAGAGUCUGCUCCGUCGGCCAAAACCAGGGCGGACUCUUAUGGCCAUGCAACGCCGCGUGGGGGAGUUGCUCUUUUCGACUUCGACACGUAGAUGCGCCAGAUUGCGACGUGGGCGCCAUACCACUAUCCUUCGCUGUGGCACAGCACGACAGACUGACGACGCACCGAAGGACGCAGCUUCCCUGGCUCCGGCCGGCGCGGUAUGGAAGGACAAGAGGUUGGUUUCUUCUUAAUUUUACCUUUUGGAAUUUAAAGUCGUGUUAUUUUUCAAAUUUAUCUAAAUAGUUAAUUUCAAAAUCGAUUCUAUCCC